AUGCACGCUGGCGGCGUGCCUCAUACCUGCCAGUCGAGCGCACAGACGAGGAGCUUGCUCCUCUGACGUUAGCGGCGGACGGGUGAGUAACACGUGGAUAACCUACCUAUAAGACUGGGAUAACUUCGGGAAACCGGAGCUAAUACCGGAUAAUAUAUUGAACCGCAUGGUUCAAUAGUGAAAGACGGUUUUGCUGUCACUUAUAGAUGGAUCCGCGCCGCAUUAGCUAGUUGGUAAGGUAACGGCUUACCAAGGCAACGAUGCGUAGCCGACCUGAGAGGGUGAUCGGCCACACUGGAACUGAGACACGGUCCAGACUCCUACGGGAGGCAGCAGUAGGGAAUCUUCCGCAAUGGGCGAAAGCCUGACGGAGCAACGCCGCGUGAGUGAUGAAGGUCUUCGGAUCGUAAAACUCUGUUAUUAGGGAAGAACAAAUGUGUAAGUAACUAUGCACGUCUUGACGGUACCUAAUCAGAAAGCCACGGCUAACUACGUG
rnacentral:rRNA from 1 species